rnacentral:misc_RNA from 1 species
UCAAACUUGGUCAUUUAGAGGAAGUAAAAGUCGUAACAAGGUCUCCGUAGGUGAGUAAAGACCCAACUCUCAUAUUUGUAAAUCGAAACCAAUGCUAACUCUUUAAUUUUAGGUGAACCUGCGGAGGGAUCAUUACCAGAGAUGGCGGGCCCCAGGCCCCCGUCCCCAACCCUUUGUCGACCAACACUUUUUUGCCUCGGGGGCAGAGCGUCCGCCGCCGCCCCCGGAGGACCAUCAAACGCUGUCUCUGUACGUCGGAGCAUUGAUGAAAUGAAUGAAAACUUUCAACAACGGAUCUCUUGGUUCUGGCAUCGAUGAAGAACGCAGC